AGAUUGAACGCUGGCGGCAGGCCUAACACAUGCAAGUCGAGCGGUAGAGAGGUGCUUGCAUCUCUUGAGAGCGGCGGACGGGUGAGUAAUGCCUAGGAAUCUGCCUAGUGGUGGGGGAUAACGUUCGGAAACGGACGCUAAUACCGCAUACGUCCUACGGGAGAAAGCGGGGGACCUUCGGGCCUCGCGCCAUUAGAUGAGCCUAGGUCGGAUUAGCUAGUUGGUGAGGUAAUGGCUCACCAAGGCGACGAUCCGUAACUGGUCUGAGAGGAUGAUCAGUCACACUGGAACUGAGACACGGUCCAGACUCCUACGGGAGGCAGCAGUGGGGAAUAUUGGACAAUGGGCGAAAGCCUGAUCCAGCCAUGCCGCGUGUGUGAAGAAGGUCUUCGGAUUGUAAAGCACUUUAAGUUGGAGGAAGGGUUGUAACUUAAUACGUUGCAACUUUGACGUUAACCGACAGAAAUAAGCACCGGCUAACUUCGUGCCAGCAGCCGA
rnacentral:rRNA from 1 species